rnacentral:misc_RNA from 1 species
GAAAUGCGAUAAGUAGUGUGAAUUGCAGAAUUCAGUGAAUCAUCGAAUCUUUGAACGCACAUUGCGCCCUUUGGUAUUCCUUAGGGCAUGCCUGUUCGAGCGUCAUCUAAACCUUCAAGCCCUCUUGGUGUUGGGUGCCUGUCCCGCCUCCGCGCGCGGACUCACCUCAAAUCCAUUGGCGGCCCCCGCGUCGGCCACGAGCGCAGCAGAAACGCGAACUCGUGAGCCCGUCCGGGCGGCUCCCAGAAGCUACACCCACCCAGUUUGACCUCGGAUCAGGUAGGGAUACCCGCUGAACUUAAGC